UCUAACAUGUGCGCGAGUCAUUGGGACUGCAAAGCCUAAAGGCGCAAUGAAAGUGAAGGUCGAUCUUAGCGUCGACCGAGGGAGGAUGGCUCGCGUCACGAUGCGAGUCCGCACUCCCGGGGCGUCUCGUGCUCAUUACGAGCAGAGGCGCACCCAGAGCGUACACGUUGGGACCCGAAAGAUGGUGAACUAUGCCUGGUCAGGACGAAGUCAGGGGAAACCCUGAUGGAGGUCCGUAGCGAUUCUGACGUGCAAAUCGAUCGUCGGAACUGGGUAUAGGGGCGAAAGACUAAUCGAACCAUCUAGUAGCUGGUUCCCUYCGAAGUUUCCCUCAGGAUAGCUGGCACUCGCAUGAGCGAGUCUCAUCUGGUAAAGCGAAUGAUUAGAGGCCUUGGGGCCGAAACGACCUCAACCUAUUCUCAAACUUUAAAUGGGUGAGAUCUCUGGCUUGCUUGAACGUUGAAGCCACGAGAUAUAUUUAUGGAUCAGAGUGCCAAGUGGGCCAAUUUU
rnacentral:rRNA from 1 species